GUCUGGACAAAGGUUAGCCCCCGUUAUGUUGCCUGGUAAAUACCAAACAGCGUUCGGGGGUUUUCU
rnacentral:antisense_RNA from 1 species